rnacentral:rRNA from 1 species
UCUUGAGUGCGGGAGAGAGAAGCGGAAUUCCAGGUGUAGUGGUGAAAUACGGUAGAUAUCUGGAAGAACACCGGUUGCGAAGGCGGCUUCUUGGACCGACACUGACGCUGAGGCGCGAAAGCGUGGGGAGCGAACAGGAUUAGAUACCCUGGUAGUCCACGCUGUAAACGAUGAAUGUUAGAUGUCGGGGGAUUUUUCCUUCGGCGUCAAAGUUAACGCAUUAAACAUUCCACCUGGGAAGUACGAUCGCAAGGUUGAAACUCAAAGGAAUUGACGGGGGCCCGCACAAGCAGUGGAGCAUGUGGUUUAAUUCGAUGCAACGCGAAGAACCUUACCUAGGCUUGAAAUGUGUUCGAUCGGUCGUGAAAGCGACCUUCCUUCGGGCGGACACACAGGUGCUGCAUGGCUGUCGUCAGCUCGUGCCGCGAGGUGUUGGGUUAAGUCCCGCAACGAGCGCAACCCCUACCAUUAGUUGCCACCGGGUAAUGCCGAGCACUCUAAUGGAACUGCCUACGCAAGUAGUGAGGAAGGUGGGGACGACGUCAAGUCCGCAUGGCCCUUACGCCUAGGGCUACACACGUGCUACAAUGGGCGCAACAAUGGGCAGCGAUACCGCGAGGUGGAGCGAAUCCCUAAAAAGCGUCCUCAGUUCGGAUUGGAGUCUGCAACUCGACUUCAUGAAGUUGGAAUUGCUAGUAAUCGCGUAUCAGCAUGACGCGGUGAUACGUUCCCGGGCCUUGUACACACCGCCCGUCAAGCCAUGGAAGCCGGGGGUACCCAAAGAUAGCGACCCAACCUUCGGGAAGGAGCUAUUU